AAUCAACGCUGGCGGCGUGCCUCAGACAUGCAAGUCGAACGAUUAAAGCUCUCUUCGGAGAGUGCAUAGAGUGGCGCACGGGUGAGUAACACGUAAGUAAUCUACCUUCGAGUGGGGAAUAACGUCCGGAAACGGACGCUAAUACCGCAUAAUGCAGCGGCAUCGCAAGAUGACAGUUGUUAAAGGAGCAAUUCGCUUGAAGAGGAGCUUGCGGCAGAUUAGCUAGUUGGUAAGGUAAUGGCUUACCAAGGCUACGAUCUGUAACCGGUCUAAGAGGACGGUCGGUCACACUGACACUGAAUAACGGGUCAGACUCCUACGGGAGGCAGCAGUCGGGAAUUUUGGGCAAUGGGCGAAAGCCUGACCCAGCAACGCCGCGUGAAGGAUGAAGUAUUUCGGUAUGUAAACUUCGAAAGAAUGGGAAGAAUCAAUGACGGUACCAUUUAUAAGGUCCGGCUAACUACGUGCCAGCCACCGCGGU
rnacentral:rRNA from 1 species